rnacentral:misc_RNA from 1 species
AUCCUAAGAUCUACAACAUAAUAAAGAUAAUAAUAACAACAUUAUCUAAGAUUUGUGUGAUUGAGAUUAUUUGAUUCUCUACUUAUAGUUGCCUGCAUUUUGGACCGCUAAUUUUACAUUUCCAAAUUGGUAAAGAUCUGAAGCACAACUUGCUAAGGGUGCAACAUUGUGAUGGUAAACAAGCUAUCAAGGGCUCACAGA